GUCCUGCUCUACUACGACAGCACAGAUACCAUAGCUCAGACAAAGGAACCGAAAGACACCAACGGACGAAGCACAUUUUGUGCCGCUUCCACCUGGUCUGGAAGAUCGUGGAUCAAGGUGACAUCGAUCUUUAGAAGAUCGACGGAAAGGAGAACCUGACCAACCCCUUCACUAAAGCCCUGGCAAUAAAGGAGUUCGACAACCACAAGUCGAAGAUGGGUAUUAG
rnacentral:lncRNA from 1 species